rnacentral:rRNA from 1 species
CCCGUCUUGAAACACGGACCAAGGAGUCUAGCAUGCGCGCGAGUCAUUGGGAGCGAAUAGACCCAGAGGCGAAAUGAAAGUGAACAGCGCCGCGGAGCUCCGGCUCCGCGCGCCGCAGGGAGGAUGGCGCGCGCGAGCGUUCAAAAGGCGUCGUCGAGGCGCGGCUCCGUUCGCGCGGAGUCCGCUUCGGCGACGUCGCCGCGCGCGCUCGCACUCUCGAGGCGUUUCGAGAAAUGCCACCGUCGCGAUUAUCGAGACGCACUGAGAGCGCGCACGCUGGGACCCGAAAGAUGGUGAACUAUGCCUGGUCAGGUCGAAGUCAGG